UGGGGAAUUUUGGACAAUGGGGGCAACCCUGAUCCAGCAAUGCCGCGUGUGUGAAGAAGGCCUUCGGGUUGUAAAGCACUUUUGUCCGGAAAGAAAACUUCGUCCCUAAUAUGGAUGGAGGAUGACGGUACCGGAAGAAUAAGCACCGGCUAACUACGUGCCAGCAGCCGCGGUAAUACGUAGGGUGCGAGCGUUAAUCGGAAUUACUGGGCGUAAAGCGUGCGCAGGCGGUGAUGUAAGACCGAUGUGAAAUCCCCGGGCUUAACCUGGGAACUGCAUUGGUGACUGCAUUGCUGGAGUAUGGCAGAGGGGGGUGGAAUUCCACGUGUAGCAGUGAAAUGCGUAGAGAUGUGGAGGAACACCGAUGGCGAAGGCAGCCCCCUGGGCCAAUACUGACGCUCAUGCACGAAAGCGUGGGGAGCAAACAGGAUUAGAUACCCCCGUAGUCC
rnacentral:rRNA from 1 species